rnacentral:tRNA from 1 species
CCUUUCGUAGUGUAGUGGUUAGUACACUCGACGCGUAUUCGAGAGGUCCGUGGUUCGAUUCCCGGCGAGGGCA